ACUCCUACGGGAGGCAGCAGUGGGGAAUAUUGCACAAUGGGCGAAAGCCUGAUGCAGCAACGCCGCGUGAGCGAUGAAGGUCUUCGGAUCGUAAAGCUCUGUCCUCAAGGAAGAUAAUGACGGCACUUGAGGAGGAAGCCCCGGCUAACUACGUGCCAGCAGCCGCGGUAAU
rnacentral:rRNA from 1 species